CACACCGCCCGUCACACCAUGAGAGCUGGCUCAACCAGAAGUCGUUUUUGCUAACCGCAAGGGGGCAGACGCCGAAGGUGGGGCUGGUGAUUGGGGUG
rnacentral:rRNA from 1 species